GACGUAGGGCGCGAGCGUUGUCCGGAUUUAUUGGGCGUAAAGAGCUCGUAGGCGGCUCGUCGCGUCGACUGUGAAAUCCCCGCGGCUCAACUGCGGGUCUGCAGUCGGUACGGGCAGGCUAGAGUUCGGUAGGGGAGACUGGAAUUCCUGGUGUAGCGGUGAAAUGCGCAGAUAUCAGGAGGAACACCGAUGGCGAAGGCAGGUCUCUGGGCCGAUACUGACGUGAGGAGCGAAAGCGUGGGGAGCGAACAGG
rnacentral:rRNA from 1 species